GAAACCUCAUCUUGCUCGCCGCCAUCCGGGCGUCGAGCAGUGCUUUUUCUGCAAGAAAGCACAGGCAUCCCGCCUGGGUGAGGAGAAAGG
ncrna:unclassified sequences RAGATH-10 RNA